rnacentral:rRNA from 1 species
GCACAAGCGGUGGAGCAUGUGGUUAAUUCGAAGCAACGCGAAGAACCUUACCAGGUCUUGACAUCCCGAUGCUAUUUCUAGAGAUAGAAAGUUACUUCGGUACAUCGGUGACAGGUGGUGCAUGGUUGUCGUCAGCUCGUGUCGUGAGAUGUUGGGUUAAGUCCCGCAACGAGCGCAACCCCUAUUGUUAGUUGCCAUCAUUCAGUUGGGCACUCUAGCGGGACUGCCGGUAAUAAACCGGAGGAAGUGGGGAUGACGUCAAAUCAUCAUGCCCCUUAUGACCUGGGCUACACACGUGCUACAAUGGUUGGUACAACGAGUUGCGAGUCGGUGGCGGCGAGCUAAUCUCUUAAAGCCAAUCUCAGUUCGGAUUGUAGGCUGCAACUCGCCUACAUGAAGUCGGAAUCGCUAGUAAUCGCGGAUCAGCACGCCGCGGUGAAUACGUUCCCGGGCCUU